rnacentral:lncRNA from 1 species
AGGCUGGCGGACGUGCGCCCCAUGGCGGAGCGAGCUGAAGUUGCAGCCUGGGACCAGGGAAAUCAAGAGGAUCAUGCUGGCUGCUGUGUGGAGAAAAGACCGAGGGGAAGUAAAAGAACAAAGAACAAAAGAGAACAUGAUGGCUUGGAUCAAGAAUCACCAUUAGCUCCCUUCUGAUGAAGCAGGAGUUGACUCAGCUGGGCUUUCAGCUGGACACGGAAAGCGGAGGUAGAUGAAUUGUCAUGAUCAAGUGGGUGUCAUCAAGUACUUAGAAAGGUUUCAUUUUGUUCCUACUGUCUUUCCAACUUACUAAUAAAAAUAUUGAAAUCUAUUUCAAAAAUGAGGUAGCCUCAUGUUAUUUUAUAUCUGUCAGGAAUAUAGUACCAUGGGGAAUUUUAUUUCCCCAGAAAGCAAGAUUACACCCCUUUAGUAUGGAACACUGAACUUUAAAAGAGGUGUCCUUGAACGUGUGGAAGUGAA